rnacentral:rRNA from 1 species
AUCUGAGCGUCUUAUUUUAAUAAGUCAAAAAUUUUCAACAACGGAUCUCUUGGUUCUGGCAUCGAUGAAGAACGCAGCGAAAUGCGAUAAGUAAUGUGAAUUGCAGAAUUCAGUGAAUCAUCGAAUCUUUGAACGCACAUUGCGCCCAUUAGUAUUCUAGUGGGCAUGCCUGUUCGAAGGGUCAUUUCAACCCUUAAGCCUA